AAAUACUGUGAUGUUCCCCACAAGCCCAGUGACAUUGGCAAUAGAGGUGGCAGCAAUUAACCUACCAACUGCAGCUCAACUCUAUUCAACAAAGGAAGACAAGAAGGCUCAUGUGGCCUAGAAUUGGGUGAGCAAAGGAAAGAAAGUAAGAGAGGCAGAAGAGAGAACAUGAGCAAAAGUGAAGAGAUAGAGAAGAACAUGGUGAGCUUGUGUAAAUGGAGGGAACACUUAUACAGCAAGGUCUGAAAAUAAGGUGACAACUAAAUAUGGAAUAUUUCUGAUAACCUGGGACAUGAAGGUAAACCAGAACUGAAGAUUCAUUAAAAAAGACACAGAAAUGCUGAUGGAUAGGGGCACAUGUAUCCCAAUGUUCAUAGCAGCACUUUCC